GACGAACGCUGGCGGCGUGCUUAACACAUGCAAGUCGAGCGGUAAGGCCCUUUCGGGGGUACACGAGCGGCGAACGGGUGAGUAACACGUGGGUGACCUGCCCUCAGCUCUGGGAUAAGCCUGGGAAACCGGGUCUAAUACUGGAUAUGACUCCAUGACGCAUGUUGUGGGGUGGAAAGCCUUGUGCGGCUGAGGAUGGGCCCGCGGCCUAUCAGCUUGUUGGUGGGGUGANGGCCUACCAAGGCGACGACGGGUAGCCGGCCUGAGAGGGCGACCGGCCACACUGGGACUGAGACACGGGCCCAGACUCCUACGGGAGGGCAGCAGUGGGGAAUCUUGCGCAAUGGGCGAAAGCCUGACGCAGCGACGCCGCGUGAGGGAUGACGGCCU
rnacentral:rRNA from 1 species